rnacentral:lncRNA from 1 species
AUGGCAGUGAUGCCCUUUGGCGAAAGUUUAUUUAGAAAAUUCCAUGAAACUGCAAGAGUUUCUAAGAACCUUAGUUUUGAAUUCGGGGUUCUUGGACUCAUUCUCGCUGCUCUCAUCGCUCUCGUCGAAGAUGACCGAGUCGUCGAUAUGGUGGUACUGCCGCUUGGUGCACGGCCACGACUGGAGCACCAGCUUGGAGUCGGGGCUCGCGUAGCGUUUCGGGGGCCCGGCCCCGUCCUGCGAGGCCGAGCGGAAGCCCAGACUCAGACUCGGCGCUAUCGCCUUCCUGUCUUCGUGGCCCUUCUCCGGCUCCGUCAUGGACAGCGACUCGUAGUCCGGCGAGGACCCCGACAGCUCCACCCUCCGCGUCUGGUCCGACUCGCAGUCGUCGUCGUCGAAAUCCUCAUGGAUCCGCAGGUGAUCCAUCUCGUCCUCCUCGCUCGAGCCGGGCACCGCCUUCUGCGCCUCCCGCCGGGACUUGUCCUCCAGGAACGAGGUCGACAGCGAGUACUUGCGGUUCGUGAAGUUGUUCUCGUUGCUCCCGAAGCCGUGCAUCUCCGGCUUGUCGCUCUCCUCCGAGAGGGUCCGCGUGAUCAGGAUCCGCGGGGAGUUGCGCUUGAGCUCCGGCUUGGACCCGAGGUCGUUGCCCAGAUGGAACUUGACGCCGAUUAUCCUCUGAAUGAGCAGGCUGCUCCCGUUCCCGUGUUUCCGGGUCUCCGGGGGCGCCACACUCGGGCUCGUCGAGUUCUCCGGGAAUGUGUUGAGCGGGAUUUGGAGAUUGUUGCAGCUGUGCGUUCGCAGCUUCUUCAGUUUCCCGCCGGCGGGAUCCGUUCUUUCGUCGGUGACGGAAGUCGUGUCGGACACGGCCACCGGGGACCACGUCGCUUCCGUCGACGAGAUCCGCGGGAUCUUGGACUUCCUCGAGAGGUUCUUCUGCGAGUAGGCCAGCUGGUUGUUGUGUAUCGUCACGGCCUUGCUGUUGUUGUUGUUGGCCGAGUUCAAGCAGAUUUCCGAGAGUCUUCGUUGUAG